rnacentral:rRNA from 1 species
UGAGGAAUAUUGGACAAUGGGUGAAAGCCUGAUCCAGCCAUCCCGCGUGAAGGAUUAAGGUUCUAUGGACUGUAAACUUCUUUUAUACAGGGAUAAACCCCCGGACGCGUCCGGGGCUGAAGGUACUGUAUGAAUAAGCACCGGCUAACUCCGUGCCAGCAGCCGCGGUAAUACGGAGGGUGCAAGCGUUAUCCGGAUUUAUUGGGUUUAAAGGGUCCGUAGGCGGGCUGAUAAGUCAGCGGUGAAAUCCGACAGCUCAACUGUCGAACUGCCAUUGAUACUGUCAGCCUUGAGUGUAGUUGAGGUAGCUGGAAUGAGUAGUGUAGCGGUGAAAUGCAUAGAUAUUACUCAGAACACCAAUUGCGAAGGCAGGUUACCAAGUUACAACUGACGCUGAGGGACGAAAGCGUGGGGAGCGAACA